rnacentral:rRNA from 1 species
CGACGCUGGCGGCGUGCCUAAUACAUGCAAGUCGAGCGAAUUGUAUGAGAAGCUUGCUUCUUAUACAGUUAGCGGCGGACGGGUGAGUAACACGUGGGCAACCUGCCUGUAAGACUGGGAUAACUUCGGGAAACCGGAGCUAAUACCGGAUAGGCGAUUUUACUGCAUAGUGGAAUCGAGAAAGAUGCUAAGGCAUCACUUACAGAUGGGCCCGCGGCGCAUUAGCUAGUUGGAGAGGUAACGGCUCCCCAAGGCGACGAUGCGUAGCCGACCUGAGAGGGUGACCGGCCACACUGGAACUGAGACACGGUCCAGACUCCUACGGGAGGCAGCAGUAGGGAAUCUUCCGCAAUGGGCGAAAGCCUGACGGAGCAACGCCGCGUGAGCGAAGAAGGCCUUCGGGUCGUAAAGCUCUGUCAAACAGGAAGAAGACCCAUGAGAGGGAAUGUUCAUGGAGUGACAGUACUGUAAGAGGAAGCCCCGGCUAACUACGUG